GGUGCGCAUACGCCUUCCUGAGCGAUCUGUGAGGAGCGUUGGGCGUGAGACGGGUCUGUUUAUUCAGUCCCGGUUCUUUCUCACUACUUGAGACUCACCAGGGAGAAAUAUGAGUGGGCAAGUGGCAUCAACAUUGGGACCUACAAAGCCAGAUUGCUCCCAGGUGGAUGAACCUGUGGUUGACCAGCAGCCCAGUGUUGAGCAACCUCACCAAGAGGAACCACCAGCUGAGAUUCAGGAUAUCACACCUAGAAAUGAGGAAGGAGAGGAUCCAGUGAAUCGUGAUGAAGAAGAGGAGAAGCAUUUUUUUAAAGAUUCUGGCCUGGAAGCUGAUCUCCAGCUAUUUGCUGAGGCAAAGACUGGGGAUGAAGGUGGAGAUGGUCCUGAUGUCAGGGAGGAGUUUGCAUCAAAUACAGAGCCUGUUGAAAUGCCAGAAGCAGGUGUCUCCACCUGGUGCCAUCAACCCAUGGAGGGAACUGCCAGUUCCUGUGAUGGGCAGUGGAGGGAGCGACCCCACUGCUGCUUCUACUUGCUACAGAUUCAACUGUGACGACUGACUUCCUUCACUAUAACUUCUCUGAGCAGAACACACCUAAAUAUGAAAUGAAGUGUGUGCCUGUGGUAUGUAAAGCCAAUUAAAUAGUUGGACACAGCACCAUUCCACCACCCCCACCCAAACCCUCACCCCAGCCAGAGGACGGUGUCGACUCUCAGGGGCUCUGGCAUGCCACCCUCCCCACUGACGUGUCCAUAACACAGGGUGCAGUGUAAAUGACUCACCUGGAGCCUACUUAUGGAGCUUGUGGGAGCCAGGUAUAUGGGGUUUUAUUCCCCACAGACCCAGAGGGGUAAGGAUGAACACCAGCCUUCUCACAGACAAGGAAACAAGUUGAAAGAGCUUAGGUGGCUGAUGCAGUAAAAGCUGGAUCUGGGAGUCACGCCCUAGUUUCUCUUGAGUGCAAAGCCAGUCUUCUCUGCAGUCACAAUAACACGUGUGGCUUGUGUUUCAGUUACCGAGAUGCAGAUGUUGUUCCAUGAGAGGAGAGCCAUCAGUGUUCCAAUCUCCUGUCUGCUUGUGAAACGCGGGUACCCAGUAGGGCAAAGCCACCCUGAAAGGUU
rnacentral:lncRNA from 1 species